rnacentral:rRNA from 1 species
UACGUAGGGGGCAAGCGUUAUCCGGAUUUAUUGGGCGUAAAGCGUGUGUAGGCGGUUUAUUAAGUCUAAGAUUGAAGCCCGAGGCUCAACCUCGGUUCGUCUUAGAAACUGGUAGACUUGAGUGUAGUAGAGGCAAGUGGAAUUUCUAGUGUAGCGGUUAAAUGCGUAGAUAUUAGAAGGAACACCAGUGGCGAAGGCGACUUGCUGGGCUAUUACUGACGCUGAGGCACGAAAGCGUGGGGAGCAAAUAGG